rnacentral:rRNA from 1 species
GCGUCAGUAGGUUGGUCGUGCCACCGGUACGUACUGGUCUCACUGAUUCCUCCUUCCUGAAGAACCUUAAUGCCAUUAAUUUGGUGUUGCUGGGAAACAGGACUGUUACUUUGAAAAAAUUAGAGUGUUUAAAGCAAGCUAACGCUUGAAUACAUUAGCAUGGAAUAAUGAAAUAGGACGAUCGAUCCUAUUUUGUUGGUUUCUAGGAUUGACGUA